rnacentral:sRNA from 1 species
ACUUCCUGAUGCUUCUCAUGGGGAUCAGAGCAGCAGAAGCAGCAGAUGCUGGAUCCAAGACUUAGAAACAGAAAAUAUGGAACUUAAAAAUAAAGUACAAGAUUUGGAAAACCAACUGAGAAUAACUCAAGUAUCAGCACCUCCAGCAGGCAGUAUGACACCUAAGUCGCCCUCCACUGACAUCUUUGAUAUGAUUCCGUUUUCUCCAAUAUCACACCAGUCUUCGAUGCCUACUCGCAAUGGCACACAGCCACCUCCAGUACCUAGUAGAUCUACUGAGAUUAAACGGGACCUGUUUGGAGCAGAACCUUUUGACCCAUUUAACUGUGGAGCAGCAGAUUUCCCUCCAGAUAUUCAAUCAAAAUUAGAUGAGAUGCAGGAGGGGUUCAAAAUGGGACUAACUCUUGAAGGCACAGUAUUUUGUCUCGACCCAUUAGACAGUAGGUGCUGACAUCAAGAACAAGAAAUCCUGAUUCAUGUUAAAUGUGUUUAUAUACACAUGUCAUUUAUUAUUACUUUAAGAUAGGUAUUAUUCACGUGUCAAUAUGUUUUUGAAUAUUUUAAUAUUUUGAAAAUUUUUUCAGUUAAAUUUCCUCACCUUCACUAUUGAUCUAUAAUUUUUAUUUUAAAAACAGCUUACUGUAAAGUAGAUCAUACUUUUAUGUUCCUUUCUGUUUCUACUGUAGAUGAAUUUGUAAUUGAAAGACAUAUUAUAUAAAUACCUGCCUUGUGUCUGAGUUCUAUUUAGUUAGCAUCUUGA